rnacentral:lncRNA from 1 species
AAGAAAUGGAAGUCGACUAGCUAUUUACUAAAAUUUAAAAGUGAAUAUACAUCAAGAUUAAGCUCCUGUAAGGAAUCGAAUAGGACGUCGAAAAGGACGAAACAGAAAGCUGAGAACUUGCAAGAAUUAUAGAUAGGAUGGCUGAAAAAGUCAACUAUUACAUGAUUACACACAAGGGCAUUUCCUUAUCAACCAUAUACUGACACUUCCCAUCGCGUGAACCCUUACCAGACUACACUUGUUUAAAGGAAGAAAUGAGCAAAGGAUCCACCAUGGAUCGGCAUGAAUGGAUGUUCCCUUUCUCAGUGGUCUAAGGAAACAAGACUGAGAGCAGGCUUGCAGAAAUAACAGCAGAUCAAAAUCUGGUGUGGCACGAUGACAAGUAAAGGUAAAAGCAAAGAAGUCAAGCACCGUCAUAAUCCGUCAAGUGCAGCACAACAAUGAAAAAUGCAGACUGUGUUCUUUAAAGCAAAAACACUGAUUUAUUUCUCGUCCAAUCUUCAGCGAAUUUGGUAUAGAUAUGUGUUCAACAAACCCUGUUGGCUUAAUAAGUGAAGAAGUUAUGUAUUUUAUGACAAUAAUAGUUUAGUCAAUAAGCGAAGCGAACAUUUGCAGCACUGUUCUACAACAGUACAAAAAGACCAUGUCAGGACGUGUUACUGCCUGUAUCAGCACAAGAAGUGGCAUAAACAUUAUUGCUUCACUAUUAAUUUUGUUAAGUUUAUAACACACCUGAGCACAAAGUGCCCCGUGAUGGCUAUUGUGGUUUCGCUGUGUCCGUCAGCAAACAAUUGAAACGUUAAUACUAUAGUAAUCACAAUGUUAAUUUAAUUGUUCAUUAUGUUACCCUUAAGGUAGUUCUGCACAUUUGAAAAAACGGAAGUGGUGAUGUAAUGUCAUUUAUCCGGAAAACGUAGAAUAAAGCCUUGAUUCGGCGUACGGAAACGAAAAUCAUUUCAUA